ACGGAGGGUGCAAGCGUUGUCCGGAUUUAUUGGGUUUAAAGGGUGCGUAGGCGGCUGAAUAAGUCAGCGGUGAAAGACUUCGGCUUAACCGGAGCAGUGCCGUUGAUACUGUUUAGCUUGAGUGUUGGAGGGGUACAUGGAAUUGAUGGUGUAGCGGUGAAAUGCAUAGAUACCAUCAGGAACACCGAUAGCGAAGGCAUUGUACUGGCCAACAACUGACGCUGAGGCACGAAAGUGUGGGGAUCGAACAGG
rnacentral:rRNA from 1 species